rnacentral:rRNA from 1 species
ACUAAGCGUACACGGUGGAUGCCUUGGCAGUUGGAGGCGAUGAAGGACGUACUAACUUGCGAUAAGCCUAGUCAAGCCAGUAAGAGGCGCUUGAGACUAGGAUUUCCGAAUGGGGAAACCCACCUGCUUGCAGGUAUCGUUAACUGAAUACAUAGGUUAACGAGGCGAACGCGGAGAACUGAAACAUCUAAGUACCCGUAGGAAAAGAAAUCAACCGAGAUUCCGAAAGUAGCGGCGAGCGAAAUCGGACCAGCCCUUAAGCUUUAGUGUAGUUAGUGGAACAUGCUGGAAAGCAUGACGAAACAGGGUGAUAGUCCCGUACACAAAAACUUAUCUAAAGUGAAAUCGAGUAGGUCGGAGCACGUGAAACUUUGACUGAAUAUGGGGGGACCAUCCUCCAAGGCUAAAUACUCCCAACUGACCGAUAGUGAACCAGUACCGUGAGGGAAAGGCGAAAAGAACCCCUGUGAGGGGAGUGAAAUAGAACCUGAAACCGUGUACGUACAAGCAGUAGGAGCCUACUUGUUGGGUGACUGCGUACCUUUUGUAUAAUGGGUCAGCGACUUAUAUUCUGUAGCGAGGUUAACCAUUUAGGGGAGCCGUAGCGAAAGCGAGUCUUAACUGGGCGCUUAAGUUGCAGGGUAUAGACCCGAAACCCGGUGAUCUAGCCAUGGGCAGGUUGAAGGUUGAGUAACAUCAACUGGAGGACCGAACCCACUAACGUUGAAAAGUUAGGGGAUGACCUGUGGCUAGGAGUGAAAGGCUAAUCAAACCGGGAGAUAGCUGGUUCUCCCCGAAAUCUAUUUAGGUAGAGCCUCGGACGAAUACUUACGGGGGUAGAGCACUGUUAAGGCUAGGGGGUCAUCCCGACUUACCAACCCUUUGCAAACUCCGAAUACCGUAAAGUAAUAUCCGGGAGACACACGGCGGGUGCUAACGUCCGUCGUGGAGAGGGAAACAACCCAGACCGUCAGCUAAGGUCCCAAAGUGUAUGUUAAGUGGGAAACGAUGUGGGAAGGCUAAAACAGCUAGGAGGUUGGCUUAGAAGCAGCCACCCUUUAAAGAAAGCGUAAUAGCUCACUAGUCGAGUCGGCCUGCGCGGAAGAUGUAACGGGGCUAAACAUACCACCGAAGCUACGGCUGCGAACUUAGUUCGCGGGGUAGGGGAGCGUUCUGUAAGUGGCUGAAGGUGUGCCGGGAGGCAUGCUGGACAUAUCAGAAGUGCGAAUGCUGACAUGAGUAACGACAAGAGGAGUGAAAAACUCCUCCGCCGGAAGACCAAGGGUUCCUAUCCCAUGUUAAUCAGGGUAGGGUGAGUCGACCCCUAAGGCGAGGCUGAAGAGCGUAGUCGAUGGGAAACGGGUUAAUAUUCCCGUACUCGGUAUGAAUGCGAUGGGGGGACGGAGCAGGCUAGGCAAGCAUGGCGUUGGUUGUCCAUGUGAAAGGCUGUAGGCUGGUGACUUAGGAAAAUCCGGGUUGCCAAGGCUGAGAGUCGAGACGAGCCACUAAGGUGGUGAAGUUGUUGAUGCCCUACUUCCAGGAAAAGCCUCUAAGCUUCAGUUCAUACUGAAUCGUACCCUAAACCGACACAGGUGGUCAGGUAGAGAAUACUAAGGCGCUUGAGAGAACUCGGGUGAAGGAACUAGGCAAAAUUGUACCGUAACUUCGGGAGAAGGUACGCUCUUGUUUGUGAAGGACUUGCUCUGUAAGCAAACGAGAGCCGCAGUGACCAGGUGGCUGGGACUGUUUAUUAAAAACACAGCACUGUGCAAAAUCGUAAGAUGACGUAUACGGUGUGACACCUGCCCGGUGCCGGAAGGUUAAUUGAUGGGGUUAGCUUAGGCGAAGCUCUUGAUCGAAGCCCCGGUAAACGGCGGCCGUAACUAUAACGGUCCUAAGGUAGCGAAAUUCCUUGUCGGGUAAGUUCCGACCUGCACGAAUGGUGUAACCAUGGCCACGCUGUCUCCACCCGAGACUCAGUGAAAUUGAAAUCGCAGUGAAGAUGCUGUGUACCCGCGGCUAGACGGAAAGACCCCGUGAACCUUUACUACAGCUUGGCACUGAACAUUGACCCUACAUGUGUAGGAUAGGUGGGAGGCUUUGAAGCAGAGACGCUAGUUUCUGUGGAGCCGACCUUGAAAUACCACCCUUGUAGUGUUGAUGUUCUAACUUAGGCCCCUGAAUCGGGGUUGAGGACAGUGCCUGGUGGGUAGUUUGACUGGGGCGGUCUCCUCCCAAAGAGUAACGGAGGAGCACGAAGGUUUGCUAAGUACGGUCGGACAUCGUACGGUUAGUGUAAUGGUAGAAGCAAGCUUAACUGCGAGACAGACACGUCGAGCAGGUACGAAAGUAGGUCAUAGUGAUCCGGUGGUUCUGAAUGGAAGGGCCAUCGCUCAACGGAUAAGGUCAGCAGUUCGAUCCUGCUUAGCUCCACCACUUUACUACUCCUUCUUAUAGAUAAACACUCUUGCUCAGGUUCAAGUAACUGAGAGUUUUUAACUCUGAGAAGUUAUUCUCUUGCUCUUUAAAAAUUUGGAAAAGCUGAAAAAUUAAAUUCUGAUAGAUAACGUAAAGUUAUUUAUCGAGUUUUCGAAAGAAAAUGCCGAUUAAUCGUUUUAAUGAUUAAUUAGCGUCUACUUUAGUAUUCAAUAUUAACUUCUGGCGAAGUUAAAUCAGUCUUUGAUUGACAACGCAAUGUGUCAUAGAAAAAUAAAG